rnacentral:rRNA from 1 species
UGCAGUCGAGCGAAUGGAUUGAGAGCUUGCUCUCAAGAAGUUAGCGGCGGACGGGUGAGUAACACGUGGGUAACCUGCCCAUAAGACUGGGAUAACUCCGGGAAACCGGGGCUAAUACCGGAUAACAUUUUGAACUGCAUGGUUCGAAAUUGAAAGGCGGCUUCGGCUGUCACUUAUGGAUGGACCCGCGUCGCAUUAGCUAGUUGGUGAGGUAACGGCUCACCAAGGCAACGAUGCGUAGCCGACCUGAGAGGGUGAUCGGCCACACUGGGACUGAGACACGGCCCAGACUCCUACGGGAGGCAGCAGUAGGGAAUCUUCCGCAAUGGACGAAAGUCUGACGGAGCAACGCCGCGUGAGUGAUGAAGGCUUUCGGGUCGUAAAACUCUGUUGUUAGGGAAGAACAAGUGCUAGUUGAAUAAGCUGGCACCUUGACGGUACCUAACCAGAAAGCCACGGCUAACUACGUGCCAGCAGCCGCGGUAAUACGUAGGUGGCAAGCGUUAUCCGGAAUUAUUGGGCGUAAAGCGCGCGCAGGUGGUUUCUUAAGUCUGAUGUGAAAGCCCACGGCUCAACCGUGGAGGGUCAUUGGAAACUGGGAGACUUGAGUGCAGAAGAGGAAAGUGGAAUUNNNNGUGUAGCGGUGAAAUGCGUAGAGAUAUGGAGGNACACCAGUGGCGAAGGCGACUUUCUGGUCUGUAACUGACACUGNGNCGCGAAAGCGUGGGGNGCAAACAGGAUUAGAUACCCUGGNNGUCCNCNCNNNNNNGAUGANNGCUAA